AUUGAACGCUGGCGGCAGGCCUAACACAUGCAAGUCGAACGAGCGGCGGACGGGUGAGUAAUGUCUGGGAAACUGCCCGAUGGAGGGGGAUAACUACUGGAAACGGUAGCUAAUACCGCAUACUAUCGGAUGUGCCCAGAUGGGAUUAGCUAGUAGGUGAGGUAAUGGCUUACCUAGGCGACGAUCCCUAGCUGGUCUGAGAGGAUGACCAGCCACACUGGGACCGAGACACGGCCCAGACUCCUACGGGAGGCAGCAGUGGGGAAUAUUGCACAAUGGGCGCAAGCCUGAUACAGCCAUGCCGCGUGUAUGAAGAAGGCCUUCGGGUUGUAAAGUACUUUCAGCGAGGAGGCGUUACUGGCAGAAGAAGCACCGGCUAACUCCGUGCCAGCAGCCGCGGUAAUUC
rnacentral:rRNA from 1 species